rnacentral:rRNA from 1 species
CAUUAAAUCAGUUAUAGUUUAUUUGAUGUUUCUUGCUACAUGGAUAACUGUGGUAAUUCUAGAGCUAAUACAUGCGUAAAAAGCCCCGACUUCUGGAAGGGGUGUAUUUAUUAGAUAAAAACCAUCCUCCUCGGAGUUUGGUGAUUCAUAAUAACUUCUCGAAUCGCACGGCCUUGUGCUGGCGAUGCUUCAUUCAAAUAUCUGCCCUAUCAACUGUCGAUGGUAGGAUAGAGGCCUACCAUGGUUGCAACGGGUAACGGGGAAUAAGGGUUCGAUUCCGGAGAGGGAGCCUGAGAAACGGCUACCACAUCCGAGGAAGGCAGCAGGCGCGCAAAUUACCCAAUCCUGAUACAGGGAGGUAGUGACGAUAAAUAACGAAUACCGGGCCUUUGGUCUGGUAAUUGGAAUGAGUACGAACCUAAACGCCUUAACGAGGAAUCGAAUUGGAGGGGCGAGUCUGGU